rnacentral:rRNA from 1 species
AUGAAGGGCAUGGCGGCUGCGGGCGGAAGCAGCAUGGGUUGUAGGAGCGGCGGAUGUGGGCGGGGUCAGAGGUUGGGGAAGACUCGUCGGCUGGGCGACAGCAAGCUUCGAUCGUUCCCAUUUGUUUUACAGGUUCUACGAUCUGUUGCAUCUCUUUUCUUCUCGUUAAGGAGAGGGGAGGCGGCCAUUGACAGGGAGAAGGAGCAGGCCGUCGACGAGUGCAAGCAGAAGGGGCAUAUUGUUUUGGUUAUGAGUGGUUGGAGAUAUUGUGACUUGAUGUCCCUGGAGCAGUCAGACCCUUCCAAGAUAGGUCGAGCGACGGCGAGCACAUCCGACGGCAACACACCAAGGUUUUUGUGGUCGUGUCAUACACCAAUUACCGUCGAGAUGGGUAAUGGUAUGGGAAUGGGGCUCCAAGGAUGUGAAAAUGGUCUGGAAGACAGAGUUAGCAGCGAUAUGUGUCCUCAAACCGUCCACCCGUUUGAUUUCUGGACCCAUAUUUUAAUGGUUCUCUUGCAGGAAGUUGGUGACGAGUUAGUAGAACUUAUAGAAAUGUCGCUUUCAUUAGACAAUGACAUGCCAAAGACGCCAUUGCCUAAGUUUUUAUUACAACUGGUCGAUCUACAACGAGUGCGUCUGAUUCCAACUCAUCAAGGUGAGCUCCCUCUUUUAUUCUUCUUAGGUGUUGGUCAGGAGCUGAUUGCCGGGACUGAUGACAAGAACGGAGAGCAGGAUGAGUAUGUCAACAUGAUGUUCCUUGAUGUUGGCCUUCUUUUAUAA